rnacentral:rRNA from 1 species
CCUACGGGAGACAGCAGUGGGGAAUAUUGGGCAAUGGGCGCAAGCCUGACCCAGCAACGCCGCGUGAAGGAAGAAGGCUUUCGGGUUGUAAACUUCUUUUCUCAGGGACGAAGCAAGUGACGGUACCUGAGGAAUAUGUCACGGCUAACUACGUGCCAGCAGCCGCGGUAAUACGUAGGUGGCAAGCGUUAUCCGGAUUUACUGGGUGUAAAGGGCGUGUAGGCGGGACUGCAAGUCAGAUGGGAAAACCACGGGCUCAACCUGUGGCCUGCAUUUGAAACUGUCGUUCUUGAGUACUGUAGAGGCAGACGGAAUUCCUAGUGUAGCGGUGAAAUGCUUAGAUAUUAGGAGGAACCCCAGUUGCGAAGGCGGUCUGCUGGACAGCAACUGACGCUGAGGCGCGAAAGCGUGGGGAGCAAACAGGAUUAGAUACCCCGGUAGUC